GAAACAUACUGAAGGGAGAGGCUGAGGGCUUCCCAGGACCCCACCAAUAUAAAUUACCAAACUGCUUAUAGCUAAGACCCCAUUGCCUGGAAACCAACUGACCACCAUGGCCUCAGAACCUGGGCGCUUUGACAGCUGGAUUCUUGACAUCCGUUGAUCUAAAGCUAGAAACCUACUACUUCAUCACCUUCAAUGUGUUUCUCAGUGUCUCCUUUCCUGACUGUGGAAGGCAGGUCAGUGAGCGGAGGGAAUUUUUGUCCAACGUGCACCUUGACAGAGCUUCACUGACCACGGGCUGUGUCUCCCUGCGGCCGCGCAGCACCUCUGACCACAGACCUCUCUCCAGAGCCGUGUGUUUGCUCCUCACCUGACAGGCUGUGUGAGAACCCAUCUGUGCUUCCCCGGGAUGUCUGCCUGCAUGCAUGCACCCCCCGACUGUGCAUGGGAACCCUGCUGGGCCUGUAGGUGGAAUUAUUUCUCAGCUUUAAUCUGAGUACAUAAUCGAGGCUUGUGCCAGCAAGGAC